rnacentral:ncRNA from 1 species
AAACUCUAUAAAGAUGAGAACAAUGUUAGUAAAUACAUAUUGGUGGCGCCUAUUACAACUCCGACAGUCGUAAGGGAGCAGCGCUCGUAUAUGUAUAUACUAUAUUAAAACAAUAUUAAAAGAGCCCUGUC